GUGCAGCAGUCGAGAAUAUUGGGCAAUGGGCGAAAGCCUGACCCAGCGACACCGCGUGCUCGAAGAAGCCUUCGGGGUGUAAAGAGCUUUUAUGGAGGAAGAAUCCCACUUUAGUGGGAUGACGGUACUCCAGGAAUAAGAGGAGGCUAAUCACGUGCCAGAAGCCUCGGUAAUACGUGAUCCUCAAGUGUUAUCCGGAUUUAUUGGGCGUAAAGCGUCUGUAGGCGGUUAAAUAAGUCUUUGGUUAAAGCCCCAUGGCUCAACUAUGGGAAUGCCAGAGAUACUGUUUGACUAGAGGGUGUUAGGGGCUGAUGGAACGGUCAGUGUAGGGGUGAAAUCCGUUGAUAUCGACCGGAACACCAAAAGCGAAGGCAUUCAGCUAAGGCAAUCCUGACGCUGAGAGACGAAAGCGUGGGUAGCGAAGGAGAUUAGAUACCCCCGUAGUCC
rnacentral:rRNA from 1 species